rnacentral:rRNA from 1 species
AUUGAACGCUGGCGGCAGGCCUAACACAUGCAAGUCGAGCGGAUGAAGGGAGCUUGCUCCUGGAUUCAGCGGCGGACGGGUGAGUAAUUCCUAGGAAUCUGCCUGGUAGUGGGGGAUAACGUCCGGAAACGGGCGCUAAUACCGCAUACGUCCUGAGGGAGAAAGUGGGGGAUCUUCGGACCUCACGCUAUCAGAUGAGCCUAGGUCGGAUUAGCUAGUUGGUGGGGUAAAGUCCUACCAAGGCGACGAUCCGUAACUGGUCUGAGAGGAUGAUCAGUCACACUGGAACUGAGACACGGUCCAGACUCCUACGGGAGGCAGCAGUGGGGAAUAUUGGACAAUGGGCGAAAGCCUGAUCCAGCCAUGCCGCGUGUGUGAAGAAGGUCUUCGGAUUGUAAAGCACUUUAAGUUGGGAGGAAGGGCAGUAAGUUAAUACCUUGCUGUUUUGACGUUACCAACAGAAUAAGCACCGGCUAACUUCGUG